rnacentral:rRNA from 1 species
UACGUAGGGUGCGAGCGUUGCCCGGAUUUAUUGGGCGUAAAGGGCGCGCAGGCGGUACGGCACGUCCGUUGUGAAAUCGCUCGGCUCAACUGGGCGGGGUCAGCGGAUACGGCCGCACUUGAGCAAGCUAGGGGGCAAUGGAAUUCCCGGUGUAGUGGUGGAAUGCGUAGAUAUCGGGAGGAACACCAGUGGCGAAGGCGGUUGCCUGGAGCUUUGCUGACGCUGAUGCGCGAAAGCGUGGGGAGCGAUCCGG